GAUGAACGCUGGCGGCGUGCCUAAUACAUGCAAGUCGAGCGAACAGGCGAGGCUCUUGCUCCUUUGACGUUAGCCGCGGACGUGUGAGUAACACGUGGAUAACCUACCUAUAUGACUGGGAUAACUUCGGGAAACCGGAGCUAAUACCGGAUAACAUGCUGAACCGUAUGGUUCAACAGUGAAAGACGGUCUUUCUGUCACGUCUAGAUGCAUCCGCGCGGCAUUAGCUAGUUGUUGGGGUAACGGGUUAUCACGGCAACGAUGCGUAGCCGACGUGAGAGGGGGAUAGGCCACAUGGGAAGUGGGACACGCACAAGACUACUAAGGGAGGCAGCAGUAGGGAAUCGGACGCAAUAGGGGAAAGCAUGACAGAGCAAGUGCGAGUGUGAGAAGAAGGUCUUGGGAGCGGAAUAAUCGGUUACGAGGGAAAAACAAAUGUGUCAGUAAAUAAGCAGGGCGUGACGGUAAUGAAUAAGGAAGCAACGGCUAACUACGUG
rnacentral:rRNA from 1 species